rnacentral:rRNA from 1 species
CCUACGGGUGGCAGCAGUGGGGAAUAUUGCACAAUGGGGGAAACCCUGAUGCAGCGACGCCGCGUGAGUGAAGAAGUAUCUCGGUACGUAAAGCUCUAUCAGCAGGGAAGAAAAUGACGGUACCUGACUAAGAUGCCCCGGCUAACUCUGUGCCAGCAGCGGCGGUAAUACGUAGGGGGCAAGCGUUAUCCGGAUUUAAUGGGUGUAAAGGGAGCGUAGACGGCAGGACAAGACUGGUGUGAAAUCACGGGGCUUAACCCCGGAACUGCAUUGGAAACUGUGCGGCUUGAGUGCAGGAGAGGUCAGCGGAAUGCCUGGUGUAGCGGUGAAAUGCGUAGAUAUAAGGAAGAACACCGGUGGCGAAGGCGGCUGACUGGACUGUAACUGACGGUGAGGCUCGAAAGCGUGGGGAGCAAACAGGAUUAGAUACCCGAGUAGUC